UACGUAGGGCGCAAGCGUUGUCCGGAAUUAUUGGGCGUAAAGAGCUCGUAGGCGGUUCUGUCACGUCUGCUGUGAAAACCCGAGGCUCAACCUCGGGCCUGCAGUGGGUACGGGCAGACUAGAGUGCGGUAGGGGAGAUUGGAAUUCCUGGUGUAGCGGUGGAAUGCGCAGAUAUCAGGAGGAACACCGAUGGCGAAGGCAGAUCUCUGGGCCGUAACUGACGCUGAGGAGCGAAAGCAUGGGGAGCGAACAGG
rnacentral:rRNA from 1 species